GCUACGGGUGGCAGCAGUGGGGAAUAUUGGACAAUGGGGGGAACCCUGAUCCAGCGACGCCGCGUGAGUGAAGAAGGAGGUCGGUAUGUAAAGCUCUAGCAGCAGGGAAGAAAGAAAUGACGGUACCUGACUAAGAAGCCCCGGCUAACUACGGGCCAGCAGCCGCGGGAAUACGUAGGGGGCAAGCGUUAUCCGGAUUUACGGGGUGUAAAGGGAGCGUAGACGGCGAUGCAAGUCUGAAGGGAAAGGCGGGGGCCCAACCCCCGGACUGCUUUGGCAACUGUAUGGCUGGAGUGCAGGAGAGGUAAGUGUAAUUCCUAGUGUAGCGGUGAUAUGCG
rnacentral:rRNA from 1 species